AUUGAACGCUGGCGGCAGGCCUAACACAUGCAAGUCGGGCGAGCGGCAGACGGGUGAGUAAUGUAUGGGGAUUUGUCUGAUGGAGGGGGAUAAUUACUGUAAACGGUCGCGAAUACCGCAGUACCUCACUUGAACCCAUAUGGGAUUAGCUUCGAGGUAAGGUAACGGCUUACCUAGGCGACGAUCCCUAGCUGGUCUGAGAGGAUGAUCAGCGACACUGGGACUGAGACACGGCCCAGACUCCUACGGGAGGCAGCAGUGGGGAAUAUUGCACAAUGGGCGCAAGCCUGAUGCAGCCAUGCCGCGUGUAUGAAGAAGGCCUUCGGGGUGUAAAGUACUUUCAGUCGGGAGGCGUUACCGACAGAAGAAGCACCGGCUAACUCCGUGCCAGCCGCCGCGGUAAUUC
rnacentral:rRNA from 1 species